rnacentral:rRNA from 1 species
AACGAACGCUGGCGGCAUGCCUAACACAUGCAAGUCGAACGAGACCUUCGGGUCUAGUGGCGCACGGGUGCGUAACGCGUGGGAAUCUGCCCUCUGGUACGGAAUAACUCAGGGAAACUUGAGCUAAUACCGUAUAAUGACUUCGGUCCAAAGAUUUAUCGCCUGAGGAUGAGCCCGCGUCGGAUUAGCUAGUUGGUAGGGUAAAGGCCUACCAAGGCGACGAUCCGUAGCUGGUCUGAGAGGAUGAUCAGCCACACUGGGACUGAGACACGGCCCAGACUCCUACGGGAGGCAGCAGUGGGGAAUAUUGGACAAUGGGGGAAACCCUGGUCCAGCAAUGCCGCGUGAGUGAUGAAGGCCUUAGGGUUGUAAAGCUCUUUUACCCGGGAUGAUAAUGACAGUACCGGGAGAAUAAGCCCCGGCUAACUCCGUGCCAGCAGCCGCGGUAAUACGGAGGGGGCUAGCGUUGUUCGGAUUUACUGGGCGUAAAGCGCACGUAGGCGGCUUUGUAAGUU